rnacentral:rRNA from 1 species
UACGUAGGGGGCAAGCGUUGUCCGGAUUUAUUGGGCGUAAAGAGCGUGUAGGCGGCCAUACAGGUCAGCUGUGAAAACUCGAGGCUCAACCUCGAGACGUCGGUUGAAACCGUAUGGCUAGAGUCCGGAAGAGGAGAGUGGAAUUCCUGGUGUAGCGGUGAAAUGCGCAGAUAUCGGGAAGAACACCCGUGGCGAAGGCGGCUCUCUGGGACGGUACUGACGCUGAGACGCGAAAGCGUGGGGAGCGAACAGG